GAAAUGUUGGAGAGGAAUGGGAAAUGAUCCUGGCACUGACCAUACACCCAUGGCAGUCAUUCACAAGGAUGCUCGUCACCAAGGUGCUGAUCUCUGGAAUGCCAUCACUGCCAGCAUGAGCCAACUCAUCCAUUUGGAUUCCACCUAAUCCAUCAUCCAGUUGAGUUGUUUAUGCCACGCCCAUUCAUCACCAUUUCUGGCAGGCAUUUGGGCCACACUGAUGUUUUUCCAAGUAAUUUCCAAGAGAAGCCAGAUGUUCCCUUCUGGAGACAAAUGAAGAGUUCAGAUGCAAAAGCCUCUAAACUCUGCCUCUGUCAAAAAUUAGGUAACGAUGAGUGUGGCAUGGGUGGCCCCAUUGAUAUUGAUUGAAUUAUGACAAAUAUUUGGCCAUACUAGGCUAUUAAUGUUUGCGGCCGGUAGAUCUGAUGAUGACAAGGUGGUGAAAUCUAGUCUCAGAUGUCCAAAAUUGGAUUCCACCUAAUGUGCACCAGUGUGUCCUUCAGAAAGACACUGCAAACCACCAAUGACAAAAUGCCACUAAAGUACUUUCGUCUAAAUGGACCCUUAUUAGAAUUCAAAGCAUCUUUGACAUUUAGCUGUUUUCUGUCUGGUACACAUAAUCAUCAAAAUGCUGGUGCAAAAUGCAUAGCUUUAAAAUGUUUUGAAUUUGAAGUUACUUCGCUAUGCCAACAUAAAAACCUUGUAAAUCAAGAUUAAAGCAAAGCGUGUACAGCCAGGGCCAAACAUAUUAGCACCCUUGCACUUUAAGAUAAUAAACCA